UGAGAGUGGAAUUCACAGUAUUU
rnacentral:miRNA from 1 species